UACGGAGGGAGCAAGCGUUACUCGGAAUUAUUGGGCGUAAAGGGCGCGUAGGCGAUCCUGCAAGUCUCGUGUGAAAGCCCAGAGCCUAACUCUGGAAGGGCACGAGAUACUGAAGGAUUUGAGUUCCGGAGAGGAAGAUGGAAUUCCCGGUGUAGCGGUGAAAUGCGUAGAUAUCUGGAGGAACACCGGUGGCGAAGGCGGCAUCCUGGACCGACACUGACGCUGAGGAGCGAAAGCCAGGGGAGCAAACGGG
rnacentral:rRNA from 1 species